GGAGCGGUAAUUCAGUUGGUUAGAAUACGGCUGCACGCCGGGUCUGUCGCGGUUCGAGCCCGUCCGCUCCGACA
rnacentral:tRNA from 1 species